CUGCCAGCCCAGCCCAGGCUGGCCCAGCUUAGCCACACAUGCGCCAUGAAGUACCCUUUGAUGCCGCUGGUGAACGACCUCACAUUUUCUUUCCUGGUUUUCUGGUUCUGCCUCCCUGUGGGUUUGCUGUUGUUAUUGAUCAUCUGGCUACGCUUCUUACUUAGCCAAGAUAUUCUGCAAGUCAGAAGAUACAGAUAUGAUGCAAACAUUUUAACAGCUUCAUGACAAGCCAUCAGACGGAGGGUCCGGGUCUCCAUGUGGUGUGACUCUCCCACAGCUUAGUCACCCAGAUCUCUCGUGAUCUGUGGACGUGGACACAGUUUCCAGGUGUUUUAUUGUUCGUGUGUGCGUGUUUCAUCACAAAACAGGGCUACAGUGGAGAUCAUUGUGCCUUUGUACUCAGAUGUUUGUUAAUGAAUGAACUAGUGGA
rnacentral:lncRNA from 1 species